rnacentral:tRNA from 1 species
GCACUAGUAGUGUAGUGGUAUCACGUGACCUUGCCAUGGUCACAACCCGAGUUCAAAUCUCGGCUAGUGCAC